rnacentral:lncRNA from 1 species
CUUGCUUUUGCUGACCAGGUCUCAGCUUCGCUCAGAGGCUGACCACACCCCAUCUUCCUCCAGGACAUCCUGCCCCAGGAUUUCUAAAUCAGGACCAAAGGCAAUGGAGUGUAAACUCUACAUUCCAUUCCUUGCGUAAGGAAGCCCUGUGAAAAUUCCCCCACUUGGCAAAGAGAAGGCAGGGGAGCCCUUGAAAGCUGCUACUUUACCCCAAAGUUGAAGAGCAAAUUCUCAAAUCUUCCACUGUAAAGAGAUUUCCAAAGGAGACAGGUUAGGAGGGUUUCAAAAUGUCAGUCUGAUGAGAAAACACCAGAACUACCAUGGAGAAUGAUAAAUGGAAGAGUAAGCAGCAGAAAAACAACCAAGAACUACACGGCUCAUCAGCUGGGAAUUCCCCAGAGUUUGGCAAUGCUGUGUUUCCUGCCUUAGAAUUUGUGACCCCCGGUUGACCUUUGUAUCAUUUACAUAGAGGGGCUUCUCUGAAAGAAGAACCACAUGCACACUUAAUAAAAAACGGGUGGGGACUCAGAGUCACCCAUGUGCUUCUUAGUUCCUUUUUACCUGAUACAACCUAGAGACAUCUGAGA